rnacentral:rRNA from 1 species
AGUGAACGCUGGCGGUAGGCCUAACACAUGCAAGUCGAACGGCAGCACAGUAAGAGCUUGCUCUUACGGGUGGCGAGUGGCGGACGGGUGAGGAAUACAUCGGAAUCUACUUUUUCGUGGGGGAUAACGUAGGGAAACUUACGCUAAUACCGCAUACGAUCUACGGGUGAAAGCAGGGGAUCUUCGGACCUUGCGCGAUUGAAUGAGCCGAUGUCGGAUUAGCUAGUUGGCGGGGUAAAGGCCCACCAAGGCGACGAUCCGUAGCUGGUCUGAGAGGAUGAUCGGCCACACUGGAACUGAGACACGGUCCAGACUCCUACGGGAGGCAGCAGUGGGGAAUAUUGGACAAUGGGCGCAAGCCUGAUCCAGCCAUACCGAGUGGGUGAAGAAGGCCUUCGGGUUGUAAAGCCCUUUUGUUGGGAAAGAAAAGCAGCAGGUUAAUACCCCGCUGUUCUGACGGUACCCAAAGAAUAAGCACCGGCUAACUUCGUG